rnacentral:rRNA from 1 species
UACGGGGGGGGCAAGCGGUUGUUCGGAAUUACUGGGCGUAAAGGGCUCGUAGGCGGCCAACUAAGUCAGACGUGAAAUCCCUCGGCUUAACCGGGGAACUGCGUCUGAUACUGGAUGGCUUGAAUCCGGGAGAGGGAUGCGGAAUUCCAGGUGUAGCGGUGAAAUGCGUAGAUAUCUGGAGGAACACCGGUGGCGAAGGCGACAUCCUGGACCGGUAUUGACGCUGAGUGAGCGAAAGCCAGGGGAGCAAACGGG